UACAGAGGGGGCAAGCGUUGUUCGGAAUUACUGGGCGUAAAGGGCGCGUAGGCGGCCUGUUAAGUCGAACGUGAAAUCCCCGGGCUCAACCCGGGAACUGCGUCCGAUACUGGCAGGCUUGAAUCCGGGAGAGGGAUGCGGAAUUCCAGGUGUAGCGGUGAAAUGCGUAGAUAUCGGGAGGAAUACCAGUGGCGAAGGCGGCCUUCUGGACGGAUACUGACGCUGAGGCGCGAAAGCCAGGGGAGCAAACGGG
rnacentral:rRNA from 1 species